rnacentral:rRNA from 1 species
UUUAAUUCGAAGCAACGCGAAGAACCUUACCAGGGCUUGACAUCCCGCUGACCCCUCCAGAGAUGGAGGUUUCCUUCGGGACAGCGGUGACAGGUGGUGCAUGGUUGUCGUCAGCUCGUGUCGUGAGAUGUUGGGUUCAGUCCCGCAACGAGCGCAACCCUUGUCGUUAGUUGCCAGCACUUCGGGUGGGCACUCUAACGAGACAGCCGGUGAAAGCCGGAGGAAGGUGGGGAUGACGUCAAAUCAUCAUGCCCCUUAUGUCCUGGGCUACACACGUGCUACAAUGGCUGGUACAAAGGGCAGCGAACCCGCGAGGGGGAGCCAAUCCCAAAAAGCCAGUCUCAGUUCGGAUCGCAGGCUGCAACUCGCCUGCGUGAAGCCGGAAUCGCUAGUAAUCGCGGAUCAGCAUGCCG